rnacentral:SRP_RNA from 1 species
GACCGGGGCCGGUGGACGGAUGGCUCGCGAACCUGGUCAGGGCUUGACCGCAGCAGCCAUAAGCGUCGUCGUCCGGGCCUUCGGUUACCUGGUCGUC